GAGUUAUCUAUUUCGAUUCUCGAAAGUACGAACGGUAGUUUCGUGAAAAGUGCAUAGUGCAAAUUCUCUGUGAAAAAUUGUGAUAAUCAAGAAUAACUUCGAAGUCGGAUGCUGUAAAAUGUACGACGGAAGCGGCGAACGAACGAGGUCGCAACGAGAAACGCCUCGUCUCACCCUCCUUUCGCCUCUCCUAGUCUUUUCGACGGUGAUGUUCCGGGGUAGGUUGGGCCCCGGUGCUUCGAAGAAUACGACGCGCAUCAGGAACCGCAGCCAAUUUCAAUAUUUGAGGAAACUCGGCUGACAGGAGUUCCGCAAAAUUUGCAGACGAUCUUCGUGGGAAGCUGUGCACCGAAGACAAACAGCCAUACACAAGAAUAACAUCUUUCGCGUUCCGCUAAUCACAACACUUGGUGCUGCCUGUACACGGACGUGGAGACGACGAUGGAAAAACAUAGCGCGGUCGUGGUUCCGAUGGAAAAAGUACCGCUUCUAUCGGCGGGUUAAUGAAGUGGCCUGGGCGCGACAAUUGUUUUUGUUCAAAACAUACGAACGUAAUUACAAAUAAAAAUCCAUACUAUUUUAAUUUUUAUCUAUU